CCUACGGGGGGCAGCAGUGGGGAAUUUUGGACAAUGGGCGCAAGCCUGAUCCAGCCAUGCCGCGUGCAGGAAGAAGGCCUUCGGGUUGUAAACUGCUUUUGUCAGGGAAGAAAUCCCUUGGGUUAAUACCUCGGGGGGAUGACGGUACCUGAAGAAUAAGCACCGGCUAACUACGUGCCAGCAGCCGCGGUAAUACGUAGGGUGCAAGCGUUAAUCGGAAUUACUGGGCGUAAAGCGUGCGCAGGCGGUCUUGUAAGACAGAGGUGAAAUCCCCGGGCUCAACCUGGGAACUGCCUUUGUGACUGCAAGGCUUGAGUACGGCAGAGGGGGAUGGAAUUCCGCGUGUAGCAGUGAAAUGCGUAGAUAUGCGGAGGAACACCAAUGGCGAAGGCAAUCCCCUGGGCCUGUACUGACGCUCAUGCACGAAAGCGUGGGGAGCAAACAGGAUUAGAUACCCCUGUAGUC
rnacentral:rRNA from 1 species